GGAGGAGGGAGUCAGGGAGGGAGUGAGAGAAUCUGGUACAUAAUCUGUCUGUGUAUGCAGAAGGGCAGAAAGAAUGGAGGGGUGAGAGGGAGGCAUGGGGCGUGCAAAGGCUUCAGGGAUGCCUGCUGGGGGGCCCUAUGGCUCCCUGGUGGUCCUGCUGAUGCUGUGGUGCCUGGGGACCCAUGGGAAGUCACUGGUGGAUACCUCAAUGCCUCAGG